rnacentral:rRNA from 1 species
AACGAACGCUGGCGGCAGGCCUAACACAUGCAAGUCGAGCGAAGCCUUCGGGCUUAGCGGCGGACGGGUGAGUAACGCGUGGGAACGUGCCCUUUGGUACGGAAUAGCCCCGGGAAACUGGGAGUAAUACCGUAUGUGCCCUUCGGGGGAAAGAUUUAUCGCCAAAGGAUCGGCCCGCGUUGGAUUAGGUAGUUGGUGGGGUAAUGGCCUACCAAGCCGACGAUCCAUAGCUGGUUUGAGAGGAUGAUCAGCCACACUGGGACUGAGACACGGCCCAGACUCCUACGGGAGGCAGCAGUGGGGAAUCUUAGACAAUGGGGGAAACCCUGAUCUAGCCAUGCCGCGUGAUCGAUGAAGGCCUUAGGGUUGUAAAGAUCUUUCAGUGGGGAAGAUAAUGACUGUACCCACAGAAGAAGCCCCGGCUAACUCCGUGCCAGCAGCCGCCGUAAUAC